rnacentral:rRNA from 1 species
UACGAAGGGGGCUAGCGUUGCUCGGAAUGACUGGGCGUAAAGGGCGCGUAGGCGGUUUGUACAGUCAGGUGUGAAAUUCCCGGGCUCAACCUGGGGGCGGCACUUGAGACGUAGGAACUGGAGUGAGGAAGAGGGUCGUGGAAUUCCCAGUGUAGAGGUGAAAUUCGUAGAUAUUGGGAAGAACACCGGUGGCGAAGGCGGCUCACUGGCCCGUAACUGACGCUCAUGCACGACAGCGUGGGGAUCAAACAGG